GUGCCAGCAGCCGCGGUAAUACAGAGGGUGCAAGCGUUGUUCGGAAUUAUUGGGCGUAAAGGGAGUGUAGGCGGUCUGGUAAGUCUUCUGUGAAAUCUACGGGCUUAGCCUGUAACGUGCAGAGGAAACUACCAGGCUUGAGUGUCGGAGAGGAUAGGGGAAUACCCAGUGUAGAGGUGAAAUUCGUAGAGAUUGGGUGGAACACCAGUGGCGAAGGCGCCUAUCUGGCUGACAACUGACGCUGAGACUCGAAAGCAUGGGGAGCAAACAGGAUUAGAAACCCCUGUAGUCC
rnacentral:rRNA from 1 species